GUAGUCAUUUAGGUAGCACAUAUACUAAAAUUGGAAUAAUACAAAGAUUAGCAAGGCCCUUGGGCAAAGAUGACAUGCAAAUUCAAGAAGUAUUCCAUAUUUUC
ensembl:snRNA U6 U6 spliceosomal RNA